GAUGAAGAACGUAGCGAAAUGCGAUAAGUAAUGUGAAUUGCAGAAUUCAGUGAAUCAUCGAAUCUUUGAACGCAUCUUGCGCUCCUUGGUAUUCUGAGGAUCAUGCCUGUUUGAGUGUCAUUAAAUUCUCAACUACACUGACUUUGAAUUGGUGUGGCUUGGAUUUGGGGGGAAAAUUGUUGUGGGCUUUUUGUAUAGUCUGCUCCCCUGAAAUUGAUUAGCGGUACCUUUGUGGAACUGUCUACAGGUGUGAUAAUUAUCUACAUCUUAGACAUCUGCUGGAAUGCUGCUCUCUAAACCUUACUUGUAUUGACAAUCUUGACCUCAAAUCAGGUAGGACUACCCGCUGAACUUAAGCAUAUCAAUAAGCGGAGGA
rnacentral:misc_RNA from 1 species